rnacentral:rRNA from 1 species
ACCCUUUAAUGUUUGAUGUUCUAACGUGGACCCGUGAUCCGGGUUGCGGACAGUGUCUGGUGGGUAGUUUGACUGGGGCGGUCUCCUCCUAAAGAGUAACGGAGGAGCACGAAGGUUGGCUAAUCCUGGUCGGACAUCAGGAGGUUAGUGCAAUGGCAUAAGCCAGCUUGACUGCGAGCGUGACGGCGCGAGCAGGUGCGAAAGCAGGUCAUAGUGAUCCGGUGGUUCUGAAUGGAAGGGCCAUCGCUCAACGGAUAAAAGGUACUCCGGGGAUAACAGGCUGAUACCGCCCAAGAGUUCAUAUCGACGGCGGUGUUUGGCACCUCGAUGUCGGCUCAUCACAUCCUGGGGCUGAAGUAGGUCCCAAGGGUAUGGCUGUUCGCCAUUUAAAGUGGUACGCGAGCUGGGUUUAGAACGUCGUGAGACAGUUCGGUCCCUAUCUGCCGUGGGCGCUGGAGAACUGAGGGGGGCUGCUCCUAGUACGAGAGGACCGGAGUGGACGCAUCACUGGUGUUCGGGUUGUCAUGCCAAUGGCACUGCCCGGUAGCUAC